GGGGGUCCCACUCCCGGGAUAUCAUCUCCCUUUCCCUGUGGGCACCUCCAGCUGUCCCAUUCCCUGUGUCAUCUCUGGGGGAUCUGUCUCUGCUGCCAGGACACAGCCAGGAACAAAGUAAAAAUGAAAACCAAACAUCCAAAGCUUCUCCACCCCAAAGAAAAGGUUUCAGCUCUGCCACACGCUUGGAAAAUCAGUGUCCAUGGGAUUUAAUUCCAGAGGCAGGGAUGCAGCCCAAGGAGAAAGGUUGGAGGGACAGAUUAGUGUCCUCGUGUGUGAGCUUGCAGUGGCCAUUCCUGGGAUAAAGAAUUCAUCCAAGGAGAGCUCAGCCACCCUCCAUCCCCUCAAAAUGAGGACAGGAUCAUUCCCAGGGCUUCCCUGCAGAGCUGGAAGCAAAGCAGCGAAAUAAGGGUGGAAUUUCAGGGCAAAAAAACCAGAAAAUAAAAGAACACCAAAUUUAAU